GUGAGGAAUAUUGGUCAAUGGGCGGGAGCCUGAACCAGCCAAGUCGCGUGAGGGAAGACGGUCCUAAGGAUUGUAAACCUCUUUUGCCGGGGAACAAGAGCGGGGACGUGUCCCCGUGUGAGUGUACCCGGAGAAAAAGCAUCGGCUAACUCCGUGCCAGCAGCCGCGGUAAUACGGAGGAUGCGAGCGUUAUCCGGAUUUAUUGGGUUUAAAGGGUGCGUAGGCGGACUGGAAAGUCAGCGGUAAAAUUGAGAGGCUCAACCUCUUCCCGCCGUUGAAACUGUCGGUCUUGAGUGGGCGAGAAGUAUGCGGAAUGCGUGGUGUAGCGGUGAAAUGCAUAGAUAUCACGCAGAACUCCGAUUGCGAAGGCAGCAUACCGGCGCCCAACUGACGCUGAGGCACGAAAGCGUGGGUAUCAAACAGGA
rnacentral:rRNA from 1 species